rnacentral:rRNA from 1 species
GAUGAACGCUGGCGGCGUGCCUAAUACAUGCAAGUCGAGCGAACGGACGAGAAGCUUGCUUCUCUGAUGUUAGCGGCGGACGGGUGAGUAACACGUGGAUAACCUACCUAUAAGACUGGGAUAACUUCGGGAAACCGGAGCUAAUACCGGAUAAUAUUUUGAACCGCAUGGUUCAAAAGUGAAAGACGGUCUUGCUGUCUCUUAUAGAUGGAUCCGCGCUGCAUUAGAUAGUUGGUAAGGUAACGGCUUACCAAGGCAACGAUGCAUAGCCGACCUGAGAGGGUGAUCGGCCACACUGGAGGUGGGACACGGACCAGGGUACUAAGAGAGGCAGCAGUAGGGAAUCUUACGCAGUGGGCGAAAGCCUGACGGAGCAACGCCGCGUGAGUGAUGAAGGUCUUCGGAGCGUAAAACUCUGUUUUGAGGGAAGAACAUAUGUGUAAGGAACUGUGCACAGCUUGACGGUACCUAAUCAGAAAGCCACGGCUAACUACGUG